rnacentral:rRNA from 1 species
UUUCCCUACGGGGGGCAGCAGUGGGGAAUAUUGCACAAUGGAGGGAACUCUGAUGCAGCGACGCCGCGUGAGUGAAGAAGUAAUUCGUUAUGUAAAGCUCUAUCAGCAGGGAAGAAAGUGACGGUACCUGAAAAAGAAGCUCCGGCUAAAUACGUGCCAGCAGCCGCGGUAAUACGUAUGGAGCAAGCGUUAUCCGGAUUUACUGGGUGUAAAGGGAGCGCAGACGGCUGUGCAAGUCUGGAGUGAAAGGCGGGGGCCCAACCCCCGGACUGCUCUGGAAACUGUAAAGCGGGGGUGC